UAUAACAUAGAGAAGGAAAAAAGGCCGUCAUGGCAAUAUUCAAGAAGAACACAAGUGCCCAGUGUUUGUUGGCUCUUGUGCUCAUGGCCGCUGUCAUUUCGUCUUGUGAUGCGUUUGGCCAAGAAGGAGGAUGUUUCAUGCCUUUCCUGCAAUGCGAUCUGGACAUGUGCAGGCGUGACUGCAACGGUUUAUUUGCCUAUUGCACACCGAUAGGCGAAUUUCACCACCGAUGUUGUUGCGCUCCCAAGAAACUCAGUGCAUCUGUUGAUAAGAAUAGUCGUCCUUGAGAUAUGCAUUCCUAAAUUGUAGUUUAUAUGUCACUGCUUUUUUCUGGAUCCAAUUCUGCCCGAUUGAAUAAAAUUUAUCACCAUUG